UGACAAACCCACAGGCAUAAUGAAAGUGAAGGUAGCUAUGCUCUCCGAGGGAGGAUGGGAGCGCUCCUCCAAAGGGGGCGUUCCCCGCACUCCCGGGGCGUCUCACGCUCACUGCGAGCGGAGGCGCACCUAGAGCGUACACGUUGGGACCCGAAAGAUGGUGAACUAUGCCUGGUCAGGACGAAGCCAGGGGAAACCCUGGUGGAGGUCCGUAGCGAUUCUGACGUGCAAAUCGAUCGUUAGAGCUGGGUAUAGGGGCGAAAGACCAAUCGAACCAUCUAGUAGCUGGUUCCGUCCGAAGUUUCCCUCAGGAUAGCUGUUGCUCAUGAGAUACGAGUCUCAUCUGGUAAAGCGAAUGAUUAGAGGCCUUGGGGUCGAAACGACCUCAACCUAUUCUCAAACUUUAAAUGGAUGAGAACCCCGACUUGCUUGAAGUGAAGUCGGGGCUCGGAUCCGAGUGCCAAGUGGGCCAUUUUUG
rnacentral:rRNA from 1 species